ACCCGUGUAGUAUAGUGGUUUGAACAUUGGACUAUGACUCUAGAGACCAAGGUUUGAAUCCCCACUCGGCCA